UCUAAUUCAUUUUCGACUAUUUUUAGUGUAUUUUCAAAGUUACACUACUGCAGUAACUCAAAUCUGUCAAGGCUAAGUUACUCAUUCAUGGUCAUUGUUCAUAAUAUUAAUACAACACCAUUUUAUCCAUCAUGGUAAGAACACAUAUUAUGCAUCAUAGAUCAUCACAUAUCAAGGCAUUCUCAUAGGCUUAGUAUACAUACUUGCACAACUCGUAACAUAACUCGAGUGCAUACUCACCAAUGACUUACCUCAUUGGGACCAUCAUCAACUCUUUCCUUGGAUUGCCCGUUGAACACUUGGAAUACUAAUUGGAUACUCGGAAAAGCCUUUGCACAUAAGUGCCUCAAUUGUAGCUAAAGCAAUCUCAUAUCUCAUGACAUUUCAAUGCUCACUAUCGAGCUAGUCAUGUAGACUCAUAAUUCCUAGUGACAUGUCACUCGUAUCCUAAUUUAUUCCUAAGGUUCAAACAGGAUUUUUCCUUGCCUAUUAAGGCUUUGUCUUAUCAUAUUUCUAUUAAUCACAUACACAUUAAUAUUUGUACAAUUCAUGUAAUGAUAACAUUUAAAUACAUGUAUAGCAUGGUAUUGUUUACAUACGAACUUACCUCGAUACCACAAAGGUGAAAAGACAUACUCGUCCAUAAAUCGAUUUCUUUCCGUUCUAGGUCCAAAUCUCAAAUUUCAUCAUCUAUAACAUCAAUUUAGCCUAACAAUCAGUCACAAUAUUCAUAUGGGUCUAAAAAUCAUAUUUUUACAAAUUUUCAUUUUGACCCCUAAACUUUUGCAUAUUUGCACUUUUUCCCCAAUGCUCGUAAAUUAAUUUUUAUCACAUUUCUUUACUCCUUGAGUCUAGAUGAACCAUUUUCAUCACUACAGCAACUCAUAAUUUCAACUAUUUUACACAUUUACAACUCAUUUUACAACUUAGCAAUUUAGCCCUUUUUAAGGUAUUUUUAUGCAAUUUCUUUCACAAAAGUUGUUUAUUAGACAACUAGGACUCAUAAUCUUCCAUAAAAACACAGAAAACAACACAUUUACUCUCAUGGUAAAACCCUAGACUCUUCAUCAUUUUGCAAAAUAAUCCCCUCUUAUGAAAGCUCAUGCUUUAGGGGUUCCAAAAAUGUAAAAAUCAUCAAGCAAAGACAUUAAAAUCACUUACUAUAAAGGGAGUUUCUUUGCUGAAAGUUUCCAGCUUCUAAACCCUUUCUUUGCUGCCAUUUUUCGGUGGAGAGAAGAUAAAGAAAAGAUGAUAUUUUCUUUUCUUUAUUUUAUUACUAAUUAGUCAAUUAAAACACAUAAAAGGCACAAAUUUUGGCCUUUUGACCAAUUGGUCUCCCCUUGGCCGGACACACACUUAAAAAGGGUCUAAUUGCCCUUUAAAUGCCUCCAAUUUUAUUUCUCUAGUCUAUUAACACAUUUAGGCAUUAACACAUAACUUUUACCUUUUACGCGAUUUAGUCCUUUUUCGAAAUUGGACUAGAAAUCGCUAAAAUUAACUUACCAAAAUUUACAUGUACUUAUAAAAUUAUAUUAUAACACAAAAUAAUACUAAAAUAAUUUUCUCUAGCCUCGAAAUAGUGGUCCCGAAACUACUGUUCUGACUAGGCCCAAAAUCGGGCUGUUACAGUUUCCUUAAUUUAAUCCACCCAGGUUGGCCUCACUUGCAACUCAGUCAACACACUUCCAUCAUCAUACAGACUCAGACGAGCAAACAUUGCUCUCAGAUCAGAUACAGCUCUACGACUUAGAGCAUCGGCUACCACAUUAGCCUUGCUUGGGUGAUACUCGAUCGAACAGUCAUAAUCCUUAAGCAACUCAAUCCAUCUCCUUUGCCUAAGGUUCAGCUCCUUCUGAGUCAACAAAUACUUAAGACUCUUAUGGUCAGUGUAUAUAAUACACCUUUCUCCGUACAAGUAAUGUCUCCAAAUCUUAAGUGCAAAUAUCACUGCUGCCAACUCUAAAUUAUGAGUCGAAUAGUUUCCCUCAUAAGGCUUAAGCUAUCGUGAUGCAUAUGCAACCACCUUACCCUCUUGCAUUAACACGCAGUCCAAACCCACGUGUGAUGCGUCACUGUACACAGUAAAAUCCUUCCCAGACUCCGACUGAAUUAACACAAGUGCUUCAGUCAGAACUUUCUUCAACUUCUUAAAAGCUUCCUGCUGCUUCUCAGUCCAUACAAACGGUACUCCUUUCCUUAUGAGCUUUGUCAGAGGUGCUGCCAUCACAGAAAAACCUUCCAAAAACCUUCUGUAGUAUCCUGCCAAUCCUAGGAAACUCCGUAUUUCCGACACUGACCUAGGCGGCUUCCACUCCAAAAUUACUUUAAUUUUUUGAGGGUCCACCUUAAUCCCCUCAGCAGAGACCGCAUGUCCUAAGAAGGUUACCUCCCUCAACCAAAGUUCAGACUUGCUGAACUUCACAAAGAGUUCCUUCUCCCUUAACACUUGCAGCACUAUACGGAGAUGCUCAUCAUGUUUCAUUUCAGUUUCAGAAUAUACCAGGAUAUCGUUAAUAAAGACAACUACGAACUGAUCAAAAAAUGGUUGGAACACACGAUUCAUUAGAUCCAUAAAUACUGCAGGAGCGUUCGUCAGUCCAAAUGGCAUAACCAGAAACUUGUAAUGACCAUACAGAGUCCUGAAUGUCGUCUUAUAGAUAUCUGCCUCCUUGACCCUUAACUGAUGAUAUCCAGAUCAAAGGUCGAUCUUGGAAAAUACAGAAGCUCCUCUAAGCUGGUUGAACAGAUCAUCAAUCUUUGGCAGUGGAUACUUAUUCUUAAUCGUCAGUUUGUUCAACUGGAGAUAAUCAAUGCACAUCCGCAUCGUACCAUCCUUCUUUUUCACGAAUAGCAUCGAUGCUCCCCAUGGAGACACGCUUGGCCUAAUGAAGCCCCUAUCCAACAACUCUUGAAUUUGAGCCUUUAACUCCACUAACUCCUAAACUUUAGGCUAUGAUGAACAAAGAUGGACAAAACUUUGUUCUUUUCACCCCUUUUUCUUUUAAUAAAAUUUCAUAUUUCAUCCAUUUAAUUCUUUAAUACAAAAGACAUGAAAUUCCAUCAUGGAACAUUUACCUAAACCAUUAUCAUGGACAUUUACCUAACCCAUUAUCAUGGAAUAAUUACCUAAUCCAUUGUCAUGGAACAUUUACCUAACCCAUUAUCAAUUUGUAUCAAUUUGUACCAUAAAUUAUGGAUAUCAAGUGCUCAUAUUGUCUACAACAACAUGAUGGCUAGCCACUUCAUGUAAAAUGGGAGGUUUGUCAUGCAAAUCCUCCUAUUCUGCACUCCUAUUUAUUUGGCCACUUCAAUUUAGCCUAUAGCAUUUUCAAACAUUUUCACAUAGGUUCUAUUUCAUAAUUUCACCCCUUUUUCUUAUGGAACAAAAAUUAACUAAAAUUGCCGGGUUCUAUCUUAAGCUUGGGCCUUCUAGACGCCCACUAACAUAAUUAAACCUAUGCCAACAUUCACAGGAUUCUCGAAAAUUGGGGUGUUACAUCCACUUCAAUUUAGCCUAUAGCAUUUUCAAACAUUUUCACAUAGGUUCUAUUUCAUAAUUUCACCCCUUUUUCUUAUGGAACAAAAAUUAACUAAAAUUGCCGGGUUCUAUCUUAAGCUUGGGCCUUCUAGACGCCCACUAACAUAAUUAAACCUAUGCCAACAUUCAUAGGAUUCCCGAAAAUUGGGGAAUUACAUAUUUCAUAUAAACAAGCUUAUUAACUAUAAUUUAUUAAAUAAAAUGUUUAAUUUCAACAUGAAAAAAUAUAUUAAUUAAGUGUAGGUUUGGAUGGGCGGUGUCGUGUGGUGCAUUUAACUUAUUUUUUGUCUUACGCUAGAGGAUCGUUACAAUAUCUAAUCUCAUUGUCAUCGCUGAUUUUACACUAACCGUAAGUAAACACAUCCCUUAUCCAAACUCACCCUAAAAGAUCACAAGUUUUAAAAAGAUUUAUGACAAUACAUUCUGAUUUUCAUAAAUAAUGAUUAAUUUUAAUUAUUUUAAUAUAUUAAUAUAUUUCACUUAAUUUAAUAUGAAAAUAUAUUUUAUGUAGUAUCUUAUUUUUCAAUCAUUACUUGAUUACAAAUAUUUUUAGUUACUUUUAUGAAUCCAUUAGUUGGAUGAUGAAAUGUAGUGCAAUUGAGAGUUAUUUCAACCGCUUGGAGUUAUAAUCCCUAGCAAAUCUUUUGUCGUCUCUAUCUCUUUUGUCACAUCAUCCAAUUCUCCUUUUAGUUCUUUCAUUUUUGCUUCUAACUCUUCUCGUCUUUCAUGUAAUUUGAUGUACUUUUGUUGGAGAUUUUCCACAUGCCAUUUUCGGAUUUCCAUUUUAGUGAUAUUAUCUUUCAAAAUUUCUCUUUCAAAUGAUUCAUCCUUGGAAAUUAAUGACAACACCUGAUUCACGUACAAUUUAAAUAAUAAGAUAAUUUUAUAUUUAGUUGUUAUUCAUAUAUACAAGGAUCAAUAUUAUAAAAGAAUAUGCAUUUAAUAUGGAUAUUAUUUUUAGAUAUUUUCAUAGAAAAAUAUAUAUAAAUAUAGACAAUUGAAUUGUUGAAUUUAUUAAUAUAUUUAUACUUUUUAUACAUGUAAAAUUUUUAAUCGAUCUGAUAUCUCUAUCAUAUUGCAAUAAAGUAUUAUGUAUACUAAUAUAAUUUUUAACCUUUGAGUUUUUUUAAUAAAACAAAUAGUUAUAGAUUUUUAACUUAUACCAAACUCGACAUGCAUGAUGUAUAUGAAUAGAGCAUGAAAUAUGAGCACAAAAAUUUAUAUACAUUGAUAUAUGUGGAUCCUCCUCUUAAAAGUGAUUCAAUUAAAUGUUUAAAUUGAAUAAUAAUAAAAAUAUACUAACCUCUGCAAGCACGCACUUGACUUCAGUAAUAAAUUUGCACUCCGCACAAUAGUAAAUCAACUCUCUUUGGUUUCUUUUUUGUUCACAAACAUCACAAUAAAAUUCAUCCUCUUCUUCAUAUGAGUUCAAUUCAUAUUCAAAAGGAGAUUUUGUAAGGAUUAAAGGAUGGAGAUGAGAUUUGUGCUUUAUUAUUUUAGGUGCUGAAGGAAGACAUUGGAGAUGGAUGUUAAUGUCACAUGGCACACAUCGAAGGACGAAGUUACGGCAGUUUACACCACAAAGAUGGCAAGUAACAACGGGUGUUUUCUCAAGGAGAGUGAGAAGGUGCUGAUGGCCACGAAACGUGAUUGAGGACCUCUGGUUAUAACAAUCCAAGUGAAGGUUAAACUUACACUCAGAUUCCCGACAACUGUAUGCUAAGAAAGUUGAAUCAAUGCCCCGGAAACAUGCAUCACAAGUGCGGAUAUGAUCAUUGUACGGAAGGGAGGUAAUGGUGAGAAGGUGUUUGGGAUGAAAAGGAUGCUUAAAAUUUACAGAGUUGUAUGGUAAUUUAACAUAGCAUGACUUAUGUAAAAAGAAGUGGUCGCAUGAUCUGCUACACCUGAAAGUUGGUGCAGAAGCUAAGCAAAUCUGUGCACAUGCUACACAACGAGGUUCGCUGCCAUAUUCUUCAUCGUUUUGGACAAGAGCUAGUGUAUGCGGGUGAGAGAAAUGUUGGAUCUCUUUAGCAACUUCAGAGUCUAUGGUGGGAAAUAAGGCACAUUUGACAUGGAGAUUGAGAUCACAUGCUCCACAGCUGUAUUUCAUGCGGGAGACAAUACGUUCACCACAACAAUCACAUGCGUUUUCACGGUAAGUAUAUGAGAUGAAUAUGAGAGUGCAUGGAUGGAUGCGAUGAUUGAUCAACUGUCGCGGAAAGCUCUUCAUGCAAGAUUUAUGAAGGAAAAACUUGCAUUCCAUGCAACCGUAGGUAGAAGAAGAAGAAGAAGAAGAAGAAGAGCAGGGCUCUUCACAAAUGGAGAAGAUCACUUCAUCUUUCUGGUUGGAAUCAACAAGUUUUAAGGGAUGAAGAUGAGUGAAAUGUUGAAUGGUGGACUCCUCAUCUGAAUAUUCUACCAUUGGCUUUAGGGCGCAUUCCACAUGCAUUUCAAACCUACAACUUAACUUGCAUCUAUAGAAAAAGUUUGAAAUGAUAUAUUUAAAACAAACAAAACAAUGAGCACAAGUAUCAGCAGUGGAGAUGGUAAGAGGGCAUGGAUGAAAGAAACUUUGAACCUCUGCUUUGUGCUCAUCAAGACAAGAUUUAUGAAUAAAAUACCCACAACGUUCGCAACCAUAGGCCGGGCCAGAUAAGUUCCUCCAACAUCCUUGGCAAUCUGUUAUUGUACUCCUCUCCUCAAUGAAUGACAAAGGGUGGUGAUGGAUGACAUGUUGAAUCUCCAUUCUCUUUUAAUGAAACAAUAGAAAAUACAUACAUGGUUGCAAUCAUGUUAUUGCAAUAUAUAACAAUCGAAAAGUGUAAUUUCAAAAUAUAUAAUUUUCUCUUACUUUUCUCAAUGCAUAAGUCACCACUAAUUCUAUGCUUAGACUAACAUUGCAAGCAAACAAAACAUUCUUUUAUAAUUAAAUGAGUAAAUUAAUUGUUGGAGUUCAUCUUAAUAAGCUAUUGGGAAGAAAGGAAUUAUAAUAUAAACAAUCAUUUUAUUUACAAUAUGUUUGAACUUUAAUAGAAAUUCAAUCUUAAUAUCCUAAAUAAAGUAGGCAAAAAUCUCAAAUUAAACAUACUUUUGAUGUGUAACAUGAUAAAGUAAGUUUGAAUUUAAUAUAAUUAUACACUUAAUAAAUAAAUAAUUUAAUUAUUUUCACGUAAACGAAAGUUAUUACAUAAUAACAUUUGUUAAUUCCAUUUACUUUUUCUGAAUAAUAAAAAUAACUUUAAAAUCCGCUAUCAUAAAUUCUAAAAGAAUUAAUCUUUAAAUUUUUUAAAACAAAGGGAAAAAAAGCCUUAAUUCAACCCUAAAAAAAUUACUAACACAAAACUAAUAUUCAUCGAAUCUAAUCUUUUUACUAAACAAAUUUAUAUAAUUAUUUCAUUUUGGGAUAAAGCUCAAAACUAUAUAUGAAUUUUGGUUUAAUGUAUAAUUUUAUAUAUGAAAUUUUGAUUUGACCUAGUUCUUGUAAAUUAUUAACACAAUUAUUGAUAUAGCAUCUUUUUAUAUUUAUAUAUUGCAUAUACAAAUAAUUAUGUUUAUCCAAUAUAAAAAUAAAUUCAUGUAUUUAUUUCUUUAAAUUUGUGCGAUUGAAUCAAAAUUAAACACAUUUGAACUACAAUCAAAGUCUCAUAUGUAUGAUUGCAUCAAAUUAAAGUUCAUAUAUCGAAUUAUACGUUAUGUCCCUCUUUACAUCAUAAAAUUAACCGUCUAUCUACACACAAUGCAUUAAAUAUAUCCAGCCUCUUUAUAACAACCAUUUAAUAUAACAGCAUUUUUCUAUAGCAACAACAACAACCAAGUUUCUAGUAGAACCAAUUUUUUUUGUGUUUUAUCCUAACUCUCUAUAACAACUUUUCACUUAUAACACCAACAUCGAUAGUUAGAAUGUGUAUUUUUUAUUAAAUAUUUAGUUAUCUAUAAUAACAUAUUGUUUAAAAUUUUAAGUAAAUUUAUAACUAUUCCAUAUAAGUAAAUUUAUUAAUUACAAUUUAUCAAAUAAAAAUUAUAUUAAUUAAAAUAUUAUAUUAAUAAAAUGCUUAAUUUUCACACGAGAAAAUAUAUUACUGAUAUCUUGUUAAAUGAAAAUAAUUUUCAAUAAAUAAAAUUAAAUAUAUUAAUUUUCCCUAAUUAAAUAUAUCAAUUUAAUUAACUAUUAAUAAAUUAUAACUUUUUUGUGUGUGACAAGGGGUGCUUAUGAUUGACAUGUUCAAUCUCCAUUGUAAAUAUGUUAUUGCAAUACACAUAUUUCAUAUGCUUUUAUUAAUUAAUUAAAUUAAUAAAUUAAUUAUUAAAAUUGAUCAUGAUAAACAACUAUCUUUAUCACAUUGAGAAGAAAAGAAUUAUAGUAGAUAAUAUAAACAAUUAUUUUAUUUACAAUCUAUUUUACCUUUUAUCGUAACUUGUCUUUGUGAUUCGAUAUUAGAGACUAACUUUUUUAAAUAUAUAUAUUUUUAAAUAAUUAUUUUUAAAAAUAUUGCUACUCAUAUUUUUUUUAAAACUUUUUUCAAACAUAGAAUUUCCUAAUAUUAUUCCAUAUCAUCAAAUAAAAAUUUAUAAUAUUUAAUAAAUAGAUUUAGAUUAUAACAUUGCGCAAUAUCUAAAUGUCACGAUUUAGAAACUAAAUGUUAAAUUAUCACAUUAUUAUUUAAGUUCAUAAUCAUCAUCAACCUAUAACUUAAAUUGUAUCGAAGUUUUCCUUGUUUUUCUUUAACAAAAAAAGUCGGGGUAAAAAAAAAAAUCUGUAACGCCCUAAUUUUCGGGAAUUCUGUGAAUGUUGGCAUAGACUUAAUUAUGUUAGUGGGCCUCUAGAAGGCUCAAGCUUAAGAUAGAACCCGGCAAUUUUAGUUAAUUUUUGUUCCAUAAGAAAAAGGGGUGUUACAUUUAGUGGUAUCAGAGCCUAGGUUGCAACAACUCGGUUGUGGAAUGGGUUUACAAAAACAAAGAUUUUCGAAAACGAAAAUUUUAUAAAGAAUGCGAAAAAAUUGAUUUUCAAAAUUUAGAUAUUUUGAAGGUGGCAUUCCGAAUCUCCGGCUCAAGUCUAUAAGUAUUCUGAAUUUUUCUGAAUAUUUUCCUGAAUUAUCUGUCUGUACUAAAACCCUAUUAGGACACUCUAGAUGGGAUGAUACUGAAACCAUAGGAAAAUCUGAUAAAAGAUUGAAACUGUAGCUAAACUUCGAUUCUGCGAAAACAAACUCUGAACUACUGUCUAAUUCAUAAAACAUCUGUAAUAAACACUGGAAUAUUAAUUGAUGCAUAAAAAUUCGUAAUCAAGAUAAUACGAUAUGAGUACAAGAGGCCGUGGACGGAGCCGAGAAAGUGCUCGAGCGAGGUCUUCGUCUUCGAGACAUAUGCCGGCGGUGGAUGCACCGGUACCACCGGCAACAGAGGUAGAGUCUCAUGACCGCGGUGCCGAGGAUGAUGCCCUGUCACAAGCAAUGCUUCGUGUUCUGGAAAGGGUUGCUGGGGCAAGUGCGGGCAAUGGAGUUCGGGGAUCUAUUUCUGAACGAAUUCGGGCUAACGGAGCGGAGAUCUUUAGGGGUGUGUCUGAUAUAGCCCCGAAUAUGGCGGAAUAUUGGUUGGAGGCCACAGAAUGGAUUAUGGACGACUUGGAUUGCUCUGAGGAGAUUGUGAGUGGGGUAUCUGUACUAAAUCCUUUGGGUCACUCGGUUAGGGUAGACAAACUGUAUAGGGAUGUACCCUUAGAAACUCAAGGUAGGAUUUUCCCUGGAGAUCUGAUGGAGUUACCGUUUGGAGAGUUUGAUCUCAUUUUGGGAAUGGACUGGCUUGUUAAGCAUAAAGCGACCCUGGAUUGUGCUGCUAAACGAAUGGUGUUAAGGACCACAAAGGAUGAGGAGGUUAUGGUGAUAGGUGAGCGAAGGGAUUAUUUCUCCAAUGUGGUGUCGGCAUUAAAAGCCGAGAAGUGGAUUCGGAAAGGUUGUGAGGCCUAUUUGGCAUUUGUAAGUCAGUUGGAAGAGGAGGGACUGACAGUGGAUAAGGUUAGGACUGUAAAGGAGUUCUAAGAUGUUUUUCCAGAGGAGCUUCCAAGAUUGCCUCCGAACCGAGAAGUGGAGUUUGGAAUUGACUUAUUGCCUGGAACGGCGUCCGUGUCCAUCGUACCAUAUAGGAUGGCACCGAAGGAGUUAGUGGAGUUAAAAGCUCAAAUUCAAGAGUUGUUGGAUAGAGACUUUAUUAGGCCAAGCGUGUCUCCAUGGGGAGCACCGGUGCUAUUCGUGAAAACGAAGUAUGGUAAUGCGAAUGUGCAUUGAUUAUCGCCAGUUGAACAAACUGACGAUUAAGAAUAAGUAACCACUGCCAAGGAUUGACGAUCUGUUUGACCAACUUAGAGGGGCUUCUGUAUUUUCUAAGAUCGACCUCCGAUCUGGAUAUCACCAGUUAAGGGUCAAGGAGGUAGAUAUCCAUAAGACGGCAUUCAGGACUCGGUAUGGUCAUUACGAGUUUCUGGUUAUGCCAUUUGGACUAACGAACGCUCCUGUAGCAUUUAUGGAUCUGAUGAAUCGUGUGUUCCAACCAUGUUUGGAUCAGUUCGUAGUCGUCUUUAUUGACGAUAUCCUGAUAUAUUCUGAAACUGAAGCGAAACAUGAUGAGCAUCUCCGUAUAGUGCUGCGAGUGUUAAGGGAGAAAGAACUCUUCGUGAAGUUCAGCAAGUGUGAAUUUUGGUUGAGGGAGGUAACCUUCUUAGGACAUGUGGUCUCUGCCGAAGGGAUUAAGGUGGACCCUCGAAAGAUUGAAGUAAUUUUGGAGUGGAAGCCACAUAGGACGGUGUCGAAAAUUUGAAGUUUCCUAGGGUUGGCAGGAUACUACAGAAGGUUUGUGGAAGGUUUUUCUGUGAUGGCAGCACCUCUGACAAAACUCAUAAGGAAAGGGGUACCGUUUGUAUGGACUGAGACCCAGCAGGAGGCUUUUGAGAAGUUGAAGAAAGUUCUGACUGAAGCACCCGUGUUAAUUCAGCCAGAGUCUGGAAGGAUUUUACUGUGUACAGUGACGCAUCACAUGUAGGCUUGGGCUGCGUGUUAAUGCAAGAGGGUAAGGUGGUUGCAUAUGCAUCACGACAACUUAAACCUCACGAAGGGAACUAUCCUACUCAUGAUUUGGAGUUAGCGGCAGUGAUAUUUGAACUUAAGAUUUGGAGACAUUACUUGUACGGGGAGAGGUGUAUUAUAUACACAGACCACAAGAGUCUUAAGUAUUUGUUGACUCAGAAGGAGCUGAACCUUAGGCAAAGGAGAUGGAUUGAGUUGCUUAAGGAUUAUGACUGUUUGAUCGAGUAUCACCCAAGAAAGGCUAAUGUGGUAGCCGAUGCUCUAUGUCGUAGAGCUGUAUCUGAUCUGAGAGCAAUGUUUGCUCGUUUGAGUCUGUAUGAUGAUGGAAGUCUGUUGGCUGAGUUGUAAGUGAGGCCAACCUGGGUGGAUCAGAUUAAGGAAAAGCAGUUGAACGAUGAGUCUUUGGUCGCUUGUUUCCAACAAGUUAAGGAAGGGGAAACUUUUGAGUUUGGGUUAGAUGGCGAAGGAGUUUUGUGUUUCCGAGGAAGAAUUUAUGUUCCAAAGAACUCUGAUUUGAGGCAGACAAUAUUGAAGGAAGCUCAUGGAGGACUAUGUGCCAUGCAUCCUGGAGGGAAUAAGUUGUAUCACGACUUGCGAGAAUUGUACUGGUGGCCUGGACUUAAACGAGAAGUAACGGAGUUUGUAGGGAAAUGUCUGACAUGCCAGCAAGUGAAAGCUGAGCAUCAAUUACCUUCUGGACUGUUACAGCCAGUAAAGAUACCACUUUGGAAGUGGGAGAGGCUAACCAUGGACUUUGUGAGUGGGCUGCCCUUGACACCAUCGAAGAAAGACUCGGUGUGGGUGAUUGUGGAUAGGUUGACCAAAUCGGCCCAUUUCAUACCUGUUCGUACUGACUUUUCACUUCAAAAGUUAGCCAAGCUGUAUGUGGCAGAGAUUGGACGACUUCAUGGAGUCCCAGUUUCGAUUGUCUCUGACCGGGAUCCCAGAUUCACAUCUCGGUUUUGGCAAAAGUUGCAUGAGGCGUUGGGGACGCGAUUGAACUUUAGUACGGCUUUCCAUCCCCAAACUGAUGGUCCGUCAGAGAGGGUUAUUCAGAUUCUGGAGGACAGGUUGAGGGGAUGCGUGAUUGACUUUAGAGGUAGUUGGGAGGAUUACUUGCCGUUGACAGAAUUUGCGUACAAUAACAGUUACCAGGCGAGUAUUCGAAUGGCACCUUAUGAAGCACUGUAUGGACGAAGGUGUCGUACACCUAGUUGUUGGACUGAACUAGGAGAGCGACAAAUUCUUGGACCAGAGUUGGUAGCUGAUACUGAGGAUAAGGUCAGAAUAAUUAGGGACCGGUUAAAAGAAGCAUCUGAUAGGCAAAAGUCGUAUGCAGAUUUGAAGCGUAAGGAGAUUGAGUACUCAGUAGGUGAUAUGGUUUUCUUAAAGGUUUCUCCUUGGAAGAAGAUAUUAAGGUUCGGUAAGAAGGGCAAGUUGAGUCCGCGGUUCACUGGGCCUUAUCAGGUUUUGAAGCGAGUAGGCCCAGUGACUUAUUAGUUGGAAUUGCCUCCAAAGUUAGACAGGAUUCACGAUGUUUUUCACGUCUCCAUGUUAAGGCGUUAUCAUUCUGACCCUGCUCAUGUCCUGCCAGUUGCAGAAAUUGAAGUUCAGACUGAUUUGACCUUUGAGGAGGAGCCUGUGCAAAUAUUGGCUCGAGAUGUUAAGGUUCUCAGAAGGAAAUGUCCCGUUAGUGAAAGUACUUUGGCGUAAUCAUGGAAGGGAAGAAGCUACUUGGAAAUCAGAAGAGACUAUGCGUCAACAAUACCCUCAACUAGUUGGAUCAGGUAAAUUUUGAGGACGAAAUUUCUUUAAGGAGGGUAGAGUUGUAACGCCCUAAUUUUCGGGAAUUCUGUGAAUGUUGGCAUAGGCUUAAUUAUGUUAGUGGGCCUCUAGAAGGCUUAAGCUUAAGAUAGAACCCGGCAAUUUUAGUUAAUUUUUGUUCCAUAAGAAAAAGGGGGUGAAAUUAUGAAAUAGAACCUAUGUGAAAAAUGUUUGAAAAUGCUAUAGGUUAAAUUGAAGUGGCCAAAUAAAUAAGAGUGCAAAAUAUGAUGAUUUGCAUGAAAAACCUCCCAUUUUACAUAAAGUGGCCAGCCAUCAUGUUAUUGUAGACAAUAUGAGCACUUGAUAUCCAUAAUUCAUGGUACAAAUUGAUAAUGGGUUAGGUAAAUGUUCCAUGAUAAUGGAUUAGGUAAAUAUUCCAUGAUAAUGGGUUAGGUAAAUGUUCCAUGAUAAUGGUUUAGGUAAAUGUUCCAUGAUGGGCAUUUCAUGUCUUUUGUAUUAAAGAAUUAAAUGGAUGAAAUAUGAAAUUUUAUUAAAAGAAAAAGGGGUGAAAAGAACAAAGUUUUGUCCAUAUUUGUUCAGCAUAGCCUAAAGUUAGAGAAGAGAAAGGAGAGGAGAAAGCUCUUGAAUGUUUGGUCACUUGGGGAAGAAAAUUGAAGGUAAGUUCAUGGUAGUUUGCUUCUAUCUUGAUGUUCAUGAGUUCUUCUUGAUUCUACCUUAACUCUUGAAGCAUAUUUUGGUUUUUAGUUGUGUUGUGAGCAUUUAGUCAUGAAUUAAAAUGAAGGAAAUGGUUGUUGUUUCAUGUUAUUUUGAUGAAAAAUAGAAGAUUGGUGAAGUUGAGCCAAACAAAUGAGCAUGCAUGUGCCUUAGAUGCUAAAGGGAAAAAUCGGCUAACAUGUUGUGCUUUAAAAUGAUGAAAUGGAGAUUAUACUUAAGUAAAAUCAUAGAUAUGUGAUGAUUGAUUGGUGAUAUACAUGUUUAAAUAACAAGCAUGCAAGUUAGGUGUGAAAGAGUGGUUUGGUAAUAAAUCUGCUUGGACAGUAGCAGUAACGUGACUUUGGAAAAUCACCAUAAAUUGUGGGAGAUGAGUUAGAAGCUGCAUAAAUUAGUAAUUAAAGCUUAAUGAGUCUAGUUUCAAAUGGAAUAAAGGAGAACAUAUUUUGAAUUCUGUACAAUGAGAAAUUUGAUUCGUAAUGAAGAGUGGUUAGAUUAGUCAAAUAGUGAAACAUGCGAAACUUUGAGAAAAAUCUGGUAUUGAUUGGCCAAACCAAAAAUUCUGAAAAUUUUAUGGAUAUAAGAUAUAUGAGUCUAUUUUCAGGGAAAAUUAACAGCACUUGAUUUGGAGUUUCGUAGCUCCAGUUAUAAAUGAUUUAGUGACUGUUGUUCAGGAAGACAACUUGCAGUGAGAUUAUGAUUAUGUGGUAAACAUUGACAAAAAAUUGUUAAUGAGUUGCUUAUUGAUUUCUUAUAAGCUUACUAUGAUCUGUAGGCAUGGUUGGCCGAAUAUUGUAAGGGGUUAAUACGUAGUUUGUAUUUGAAUAGUUAGAUUAACGUGUUAGUAAUCCAAUUGUAGGCGGUUCGUGUGUGGAUCUCGUCAGCAUAUCGUCGCAAACAGGUGUGUAACUAACACCCUCUUUCUUAGUCUGGAUCGGCAAAAGUCGAAAAGCCGAAAUGUCGAAAACUGGUAUUUUGUAGAUUUGCGAGUGUGCGAAUGUUCGUGAGGUAAAUCGAAUAAUGUUUUUGGUAAGCUGCAAAAUUUAGACUGCAAAGUGCAUGAUUUUUGUGCCCUCGAUAUUUUUGGGCUUAAUGGGCCAUAAUUGGAAUGAUGGGCCAACGGGCCCAAUUCGGUAAGAACCCUCGGUACGUGAUUCUGUUAGUACGUGAAAAGUAAGAAUAUGUAUGAAAAACCCUAAAAUAGGUAAAUUACUGAAAUACCUUUAAAAGUGGAAAAUUUACAGUUUUACCCCUAGUAGAUAAAUUACCGAAAUACCCCUAGGGUUAAAUUGACCUAAAUGCAUAUUUGACUGUUGUUAUUUACUGCAUGCUAUGUUGUUAUUAUCUGAUGCAUGGGAUUGAGAUAUUGACGGAGGAAGUACUGAAAGUGGCUUGUCCACGUACUGGAGGCUUUGCCUCAAUUUACUGUUAACUGAGCAGCAAGGCUGCAACUGUAGAGUUUGGGCUGGGUGGGUUAAGCUAUCCUCACAUGGAAUGUAUGGCCGGUACGGGUGGAGUGUAGUGGUUGGUGGGUUGAGUAGUCUCCCCAAAUGGGCUUGCAUAUGUUAUUGAUGUUGCAUGUAUUUUGAAAUGGGCCUAUGGGCCAUACUGUUAUCUGAAUAAGGGGCUAAGACCAGUUUAUUGUAAUCUGAAAAGGACUCUGGCCCAGUACCACUGUUACUUGAAUGGGCUUAGGCCCAAUAGGCUUGAGCUGACUUGGGCUUUGAAUGAGUUUUCUUUACACACUGAGUUUCCCCAAACUCACCCUUUUUAUUUUCAUCCACGUAGGAAAUCCCCAACCAUAGUGGGCUUGGAGCUGUGAGGGAAUUCGGAGUGGCCACCCGUUCUAAAAGUUUGGUUUUCUUCUGGUGAAAUGGACAUCCUAUUAUUUACGUUGAGGUUUGGGUUUUUAAAUGUAAUAAGGCCGCUUAAUUAUUUUUGAUGGUUUUAAUAUGUAUUACUAAGAUAGGUAUUACUUAUUUUAACUGUUGAAAUUGGAUAGCUUUAGGGCGCGUUUUCAAAAAAACAACAACAAUUGAUUUCAAAAUAACACGACAACAAGCAAAGCUUCCGCAGUGAAAGUAUUUUCCAAAAUUAAUCACUUUUCCUAAAAAUGACUUAAUCAAAUCGGUUUCCUAGAAAUAUACAUGACGUUAAGGUGUGGCAAUGGCGGUGUGCAUGUUUCGGAUUGGAUCCGAAAGGAGCUUGGUAUUUAAGUAAUCUGAUAGACUCACCUCCUCUUUUUCGGUUUCCUACCUGGUGCAUAGCUUCCAUUCACUUGGUUAGUUUGACAAAAGUCGGCUUUUUAAAACACUAAAAAGGGAACACGGGUUUUUGACUUCAAAGUGGCACGUCGGAUUCGGCCUUAACGUCUGGGCCGGGUUUGGGGUGCUACAUAAUCUUAACAUAAAAAAUUUAAUCAUAAUCAACCUAAAAUAAGUGUAUAAACCAGCAAAAUUAAAACAUAAAAUUUCUUUUCUUCCCGUGUAUUUCAAGUAUAAAUUCAUUGUAAUAUCCUAAUAAAAAUUAGAUAAAAAUCUCAAAUAUAUUUACUUUGAUGCAAUUAUAUAUUUAAUAAAUAAAUAAUUUUAAUUAUAUUGAAGUUAAAUAAAUAUAAUAGUUUUAAUUUUUAUCUUUUGGGAAUUGGCAUUUUAAAGAUAUAUAUUCAAAUGAAAAGAAAAGUUGAUAGAUGGGGUCAAGCUGAGAUGGGUAUAUUGGAAUCAUGAAAGUAUUCAUUAGGAUGGCUUAAAUUACAUUUGUUUAUGAUUACUUAAAUUAAAAUAUCAUAAAUAAAUACUUCCUCUUUGAUGAGAUGAAUUUGAGAGUGCAUGGAUGGAUGCGAUGAUUGAUGAACUGCAGCGGAAUGCUCUUCAUGCAAAGGAAAACCUCGCAUUCCAUGCAACCGUAGGUAGAAGAAGAAGAAGAAGAGCAGGGCCCUUCACAAAUGGAACAGAUCACUUCAUCUUUGUAGUUGGAAUCAACAAGUUUUAAGGGAUGAAGAUGAGUGAAAUGUUGAAUGGUGUACUCCUCAUUUGAAUAUUCUACCAUUGGCUUUAGGGCGCAUUCCACGUGCGUUUGAAACCUACAACUUAACUUGCAUUUAUAGACAAAGUUUGAAGUGAGAGUUUUGAAACAAACAAAACAGGAACUACUAAAAGAUUCAGUGGAGAUGGUAAGAGGGCAUGGAUGAAAGAAACAUUGAAUCUCUGCUCUUUGCUCAUCAAGACAAGAUUUAUGAAUAAAACAGCCACAACGUUAGCAACCAUAAGCUGGGCCGGAUGAAAACCUCCUACAUCCUCUGCACCAUUUCUCUCUAUUCCCGUCCUGAAUGAAUGACGAUGACAGGGGUGGUGAUGGAUGACAUGUUGAAUCUGCGUUCUUUUUUAAUGAAACAAUAGAAAAUACACACAUAUUUGCAAACAUGUUAUUGAAAUAUGAUAACAAUCCAAUCAUUUUUUCUUACUAUUCUUAAUGCCUAAUUCAUUAUUAUUCUACACAUAGCAAACAAGAUAUCAAAGUAAUUCCAUCUUUAAAUAAUCGCAUUAAUAAAUUAAUUGUUGAAAUUCAUCUUAAUAAGCAAUUAUCUUAUCACAUCGGAAAAAAAGAAUUAUAAUAGAUAAUAUAAACAAAUUAUUUUAUUUGCAAUCUAUUUUAAUUUUUAUAGCAAAUUGUCAUGGUGGUUAAAAUAUUUUUUCUUAAAAUAUUGCUAUACAUAAUUUUUUAAAAAUAUUUUUAACAUAAAACUUUCAUUUGCUCUGUAUAUUUCAAGUGUAAAUUCAUCGAUUUUGUCCUUUAAAAACCUAAAAAAUAAACAUCCACUAAUUCAUUUCCCAAAAAAAUUGUUAAAUAACCAUUUAGGUCCUUUAGUUAAUUGCCGGUUGGGUCCUUGAACAUUUUCAAACUUAAAUUUCAAUAGUGAUUAAAUUUUUUACAAUUUAAUUUAGGCACUCAAAUAACUUCUUUUGUAAUUUAAUUAUUCAACCUAUCGUUAAUAUAUUUUCGUAUUAACUUUAUAAAUACUUCUAUUAAUAUUUUCACCGACUCAAUUUACAGAUUUGGAUUCUGAAAUUGUAUUUUUCAACAUCUAUGACUUUUAUUUUGAGCUUAAAUGUGUUUAAAUUUUGCGUUAUUAUGAUUUGAAGUUCGUUGAUAUGUUAUGAAGGUGUUUUGGGUAUAAUUUAAAGUGUUUUUAGGCUUUGCUACUAUAAAAUCAUGACAUUUUAAUUGAAAGGGUGAAGUCGCAAUAUUCACCUACAAAGUUGUGACAUUGUCCCUUGCAAUGUCCUUUACUUCAUUUUCAUAAAUAAGGAUUAAUUUUAGUUAUUUUAAUAUGUAAAUGUAUUUUAUGUAGUAUCUUAUUUUUCAAUCAUUAUCUGAUUACAAAUAUUUUUAAUUACUUUUAUGAACCCACCAUUAGUUGGAUGAUGAAAUGUAGUGCAAUUGAGAGUUAUUUCAACUGUUUUGAGCUAUCAUCCUUAACAAAUCUUUCGUCGUCUCUAUCUCAUUUCUCACAUCAUCCAGUUCUCCUUUUAAUUCCUUUAUUUUUGCUUUUAAUUCUUUUCGUCUUUCACGUAAUUUGAUGUGCUUUUGUUGGAGAUUUUCCGCAUGCCAGUUUUGGAUUAUUGCUUGAGUGACACUAUCUUUCGUAAUUCCUUCAUCAAAUGAUUCAUCCUUGGAAAGCAACUGCAACACCUGGUUUACAUACAAUUUAAACAAUAAGAUAAUUUUAUAUUCAGUUGUUUAUACAUAUUAAUAUUUUUUUCUUCUUUGAUUCAAUAUAGUCAUUACUAGGGUAUGUAUAAGAUUGUUAACUACUAACAUUUAUGUUAUUCGGAUAUUCAAGGAUCAAUAUUAUAUAAGAAUAUAUGUUUGAUAUAGAUAUUGAUCUUAGAUAUUUUUAUAGAAAAACAUUUGGUAUACUCUCAAUGUGAAGUUUUUAAAUUUUAUAAAUAGGGUUGGGUUGAUGAUAAGUGCCCUAUAGAGUAUAGUAAAAUAAUUUAAAAAGUUAAAAUAAAAAUAUAUGUAUAUGUAUGUAUGUAUGUUUAAGGAGAUAGACCCACUUGCAUUGAUGUAAAACUUAAGAGGUUUUAUAUCAUUCUAUAACUUUUUAUAUGAUUAAUAUUUUAACAAUCCAACUGUCAUAUUUCAUGCUUUAUUCAUGUAGAUCAUGCAUGUCAAGUUUGACAUAAAUUUAAAAUUUCUAAUCAUUCAUUUUAUGUAAAAGAAAUUUCAACCGUUAAAUAUAUAUAAAUAUAAACAAUAUUUUAGAUCGAUAUAAUAAAGAUAUCGGAUCGAUUAAAAAAUUUACAUGCAUGACAAGUUCAAAUGUAUUAAUAAGUUUGAUGGUUGAAUUUUUAAAAUAUUAAUUAUAUAAAACAUUGAGGAAAAUUGUAAAACCGCUUAUAUUUUACACCGGUAUAAGUGAAUCUCUUCUAUGUAGCCAAAAACUCAAAGAAACAAGUAGUUAAAACCCUAUGUUAAGCACUUAAAGUCCAAAGCCGAAUCGUAAUGUUAACAUCACUUCCUGUUACAUUUUAAUGUAACCUUCCGAAUGCAAGUAUUUUAAAAGAUAGACAUUUAAUUAAAAGAACACGAAGGAUUCACUUAUACCGGUAUAAAAAUUUAAGUGGUUUUAGACCCUUCAAUAACUUUUUAUAUGAUUAAUAAUUUAACAAUCCAACCAUUGAAUUUAUCAAUAUAUUUGUAGUUUUCAUGCGUGUAAAUUUUUUAAUCGAUCUGAUAUUUCUAUCAUAAUAAUGUAAAAUAUUGUGUAUAUUAAUAUAUAUAUUUUAACAAUUGAGUUCUUUUUUUUACAUAAAACAUACAUCGCAAGUGCGGAUAUGAUCAUUGUAUGGAAGGGAUGUAAUGGUGAGAAGGUGAGAGGGAUGAAAAGGAUGCUUAAUUUUAUAAGAUUUGUAAGGUAAUUUAACACAGCAUGAUUGAUGUAAAAAGAAGUGGUUGCAUGAUCUGCUACACCUAAAAGUUGGUGUGGGAGGUAAGCAAAUCUCUGCACAUGCUACACAACGAGGUUCGCUGCCAUAUUCUUCAUCGUUUUCGACAAGAGCUAGUGUGUGCGGGUGACAGAAAUGUUGGAUCUCUUUCACAUCUUCAGUGUCUAUGGUGGGAAAUAUGGCACAUUUGACGUGAAGAUCAAAAUUACAUGCUCCACAGCUGAACAUGCCGAAGUCAAUACCUUUACCACAACAAUCACAUUCGAAAUAUUCACCGUUAAGAAAUGUGAUGAAUAUGAGAGUGCAUGGAUGGAUGCGAUGAUUGAUCAACUGUCGUGGAAAGCUCUUCAUGCAAGAUUUAUGAAGGAAAAACUUGCAUUUCAUGCAACCGUAGGUAGAGGAAGAAGAAGGGCAGAGCUCUUCACAAAAAGAGCAGAUCACUGUAUGUUUCUGGUAGGAAUCAACAAGUUUUAAGGGAUGAAGAUGAGUGAAAUGUUGAAUGGUGUACUCCUCAUUUGAAUAUUCUACCAUUGGCUUUAGGGCGCAUUCCACAUGCGCUCGAAACCUACAACUUAACUUGCAUUUAUAGGAAAAGUUUGAAGUGAUACGUUUAAAACAAACAAAACACUGACGAUAACCACCAGGGGAGAUGGUAAGAGGGCAUGGAUGAAAGAAACAUUGAACCUCUACUUUGUGCUCAUCAAGACAAGAUUUAUGAAUAAAAAACCUACAAGGUUCGCAACCAUAGGUCGGACCGGAUAACUUCCUCUCACAUCCUUUGCACCGUGCUAUUGUACUCUCCUCCUCAAUGAACGACAAUGACAAGGGGUGGCGAUGGAUGACAUGUUGAAUCUCCAUUCUUUUUUAAUGCAACAAUAGAAAAUACAUACUUCCUUGCAAACAUGUUAUUAUAAUAUAUAACAAUCGAAUCAUUUUCUCUUACUUUUCUUAAUGUGUAAUUCACCGCUUAUUCUAUGCUAGCCUAACAUUGCAAGCAACCAAGACAUUAAAAUAAUUCUUUCUUUAAUUAAUUAAUUUAAUAAAUUAAUUGUUAAAGUUCAUCGUAAUAAACAACUAUCGUAUCCCAUCCAGUAGAAAUGAAUUAUAACAAAUAAUAUAAACAAUUAUUUUAUUUACAAUCUAUUUUAACUUUUAUUUACAAUUAUUUUUGUAAAAAAAAUAUUUUUAAAGAGUUAUUUAUUAAAAUAUUUCUAUACAUCAUUUUUUAAAACAUAAAAUUUCUUCUCUCCAUGUAUUUCAAGUAUAAAUUCAUUGUAAUAUCCUUAAAAAAUUAGAUAAAAAAUCUCAAAUAUAUUUACUUUGAUGCAAUUAUACAUUGAAUAAAUAAAUACUUUUAAUUAUUUUGAAGUUAAAUAAAUAUAAUAGUUUUACGUUUUAUCUUUUGGGAAUUGGCAUUUUAGAGAUGUAUUUUCAAAUGAAAAGAAAAGUUGAUAGAUGGGGUCAAGCUGAGAUGGCUAUGUUGGAAGAAUAAAUACUUAGCUUGGUCUUGGUCUGGCCCAACAAAAAAUUUAGGCACUUUUACUAGGCUCCGGCUUGGCCCGAAAAAUAAAUCUAAAAUUUUUUUCUAAGCUCGACUCGUAUAAAAAUACUAAAAUUCGAGCUGAGCCUGACCUGAUACGCUAAAAAUAUAUAAUACAUCAAAAAUAUUAAAAAUAUUAAAAUAAUACUAAGAUAAAUGCAACUUAACAAGCAAAAGUAAAAAAUAGUAACAAAAUUAACAAUAAGACAAGAGUUAUACAAUAUCCAAAUAAUAACAAUAAAAUAGUAGCAAUAUAAUUAUGAAAUUGUAACAAAAUAGUGAAAAAAACAACAACAAAUAAUCAAAUUAGUAAAUUAAUUUAAAAGUAUAAUCAAAUAUAGAAUAUUAUUUUCAUAUUUAUCUUUACAAAUAUUUUUAAUUAUUUUUACCGACUCAGGUCAAUGCGCAAACCUUGAUUUCCGGCAUCAUUGAGCAAGUCUCGCAAUUGAGAGUUAUUUUUAACUAGUUGAAUUAACAGUUCUGAAUCAACUCCCACUAGGUUGCCUAAUAUACUUUCUGUCUUCCUUAUCUCUAUUUCCACACCAUCCAAUUCUCCUUUUAUCUGUUUCAUUUUUGCUUUUAAUUCUUGUUGCCCUUCAUGUAAUUUGAUGCGCUUUAGUAGGAGAUUUUCCACAUGCCAUUUUUGAAUUUCUGAUAAAAUUCAACUUUUUGACUCACAUCAUCUUUUGGAAUUUUUUUUCCAAAAGAAUUGUUCUCGUAAAUUAAUGGCAACACCUUAUUCACAUAUAGUUUAAACAAUAAAAUAAUUUCAUGUUUAGUUAUUUAUAAGUACUAAUCUUUAAUUCAUUAUAAGUAUUAAUCUUUACUAGGGUAGGUAUAAAAUAGUUACCCACUAUCAUUUAUGUUAUAUAGAUAUUCAAGGAUCAAUAUUAUACAUGAUUAUGUGUUUGGGGAGAGGAGGGAGAGAGAAGGAUCCAUUUACAUUGCUGUAAAACUUAAGUGGUUUAAAAUUAAAAAUAUUAAUUUUUUAUAGGAUUAAUAUUUUAACAAUUCAACAGUAAUAUUUUAUUCUUCAUUCAUUUAGAUCAUGUAUGUCAAGUUUGGUAUAAAUUAAAAAUUUCUAACUAUCCGUUUUAUGUAAAAUAAAAAAAACCCUUCAAUUAUUAAAUAUGUAUUAUUUUAGAUUGAUAUGAUGGAGAUAUCAAAUUGACUACAAAAUUUACAUGCACGACAAGUACAAAUAUAUUAAUAAGUUUAAUAGUUGGAUUGUUAAAAUAAUAAUUGUAUAAAAAGGAACGGAAGAAUGUAAAACCACUUUUACCCUAAGGCAAAUAGAUCCCUCCCAUUUGUAUAUAUAUAGAGAGAGAGAAUAACUUACUUUAGGAUGAUCCUAAAAACUAAAGUUUUUAUGCACGAAUAAAAUUUUGUCACAUCAUUAAAUUUUAAAGAUAUGAAAUUAUUAUUAUAAACCCAUCCAUAGAGAAAUUAUUUUAUGGAUUCUUCUCACCACAUUAUUCAUGCUCCCUUUCAACAAUUUUUUUCCAAGUCAUUAACACAUAAUUUUGAUAAUUUGUACUUUGAACCAUAAAUCUAAAAUCCUAAAUCCUAAAUCCCAAACUCGAAGCCACAAUCUUAAAUUUAAACUUGUAACCCCAAAUCUUUAAACCCUGAACCAUUAAACCUUAAAUCCAAAACCCUUGAACAUUCAACAUGAACCUUGAACCCCAAACUUGAACCAUGAAUCCUAUAUUUCAAAAUCAAACCCUAAAUCUCGAGCUUCGAGGUUUAGGAUAAAAUAGUUACCAAACUUAUAUGCUAAUGAUAUAGAAAAAAAUAUACAAAAAAAACAUUAACUUAUGAAAAAAAACAAAAUGAUUAAAAUUUGUAAAAAAAAAAGAUGCUUGUUUAUAAUUUAAAAAUUAAUUAUUUUAAGUAAUUUAAUUAAAUUUAAAUUAAGUUAGAAAAGAUAUUAGAUAUGCAUGAGUGUAUAAUAAUACUUUAUCUUUAAAAUUUAAUGAGGUGGCAUUAUUUUAUUAAUGCCUAAAAACUAUGCUUUUUAAGAUGAUCUAAUAUAAUUUAUUCCUAAGAUAUAUAUAUAUAUGCUUAGGUCAAAUCCUAAUGUUAGCAUCACUUCUUAAAUUUUAAUGUAAGCUUUUUGUAAGCAAAUAUUUUAAAAGAAAAACAUUUAAUUAGAAGUAACUCAAUUAAAUAUUUAAAUUGAAUAAUAAAAGAUAUACUAACCUCAUAAAGCACGCACUGAACUUCAGCAAUAAAUUUGCACUCCGCACAAUAGUAAAUCAACUCUUUUUGGUUUCUUUUUUGCUCACAAACAUCACAAAAAAAUUCAUCCUCUUCUUCAUCUGAGUUUAACUCAUACUCAAAAGGAGACUAUGUAAGGGUUAAAGGAUGGAGACAGAACGUUCACCACAACAAUCACAUUCGCCCCUAAAGGAAGGACAUGUGAUGAAUAUGAGAGUGCAUGGAUGGAUGCGAUGAUUGAUCAACUGUCACGGAAUGCUCUUCAUGCAAGAUUUAUGAAGGAAAAACUCGCAUUCCAGGCAACCGUAGGUACAAAAAGAAGAAGAGAAGAGCUCUUGACAAAUGGAGCAGAUCACUUCAUCUUUCUGGUUGGAAUCAACAAGUUUUAAGGGAUGAGCAUGAGUGAAAUGUUGAAUGGUGCACUCAUCAUCUGAGUAUUCUAUGAUUGGCUUUAGGGCACAUUCUACAUGCAUUUCAAACCAACAAUGUAACUUGCCUUUAUAGGAAAAGUUUGACUUGAUACGUUUAAAACAAACAAAACACCGAUGAUAACCACCAGGGGAGAUGGUAAGAAGGCAUGGAUGAAAGAAACUUUGAACCUCUGCUUUGAGCUCAUCAAGACAAGAUUUAUGAAUAAAAUACCUACAAGGUUCGCAACCAUAGGUCGGACCGGAUAAGGACCCCUCCAAACAUGCUUGACACCAUCCCUUUGUAUUCCCCUCCUUAAUGAAUGACAAGGGGUGGGGAUGGAUGACAUGUUGAAUCUCCAUUCUUUUUUAAUGAAACAAUAGAAUACAUACAUGGUUGCAAUCAUGUUAUUGCAAUAUAUAACAAUCGAAAAGUGUAAUUUCAAAAUAUAUAAUUUUCUCUUAUUUUUCUUAAUGCAUAAGUCACCACUAAUUCUAUGCUUAGACUAACAUUGCUAGCAAACAAAGUAAUUCCAUCUUUUAUUAAUUAAAUUAGUAAAUUAAUUGUUAAAGUUCAUCAUAAUAAGCAACUAUCGGGAAGAAAGAAAUUAUAAUAUAAACAAUCAUUUUGAUGUGUAACAUUAUAAAGUAAGUUUCAUAAAAUUAUCAAAAUAUAGAUUAUUAAACUACUUAUAUUAUAUUUUUACUUUCUUAAAAUUAUAAAAUUUAAUUUUACUCGAAAUUCUUUUCUAACUUUACCCCUCAACAAAAGAAAAAGAGAAGAAGAAAAAGGUCAUGAAAGUGGAUAGAAAAGCCUUCUUAGGUUAUAAUUUGUGUUGGUUUAUGGAAAUGCAUGUGAUAAAGAUGUUAUUUGGAAAGAACACAGCGUAUUUAUUUAUUUGGAACUAAUGAUGUUACGAUUUUUCCCAUUUACUAUAUUUCCAUAGAGAAAGUAUUAUAUAAAAUAGAGAUAAAUAUAAUUUGAAAUUCAAAUGGUAUUGUCUUCGUAUGAAUAAAAGAUCACAAGUUUUAAAAAAGAUUGUGACAAUACACUCAUUUUUUAGGAAUAGCCAUUAAUUUUAUUUAUUUUCAUAUAUUUCACUUAAUUUAUUAUGCUUAAAAUCAUAAUAAAAUGUAUUUUAUUAUUUUCAUAUUUAUUUUUACAAGUAAUUUGGUUACAAAUAUUGUAACACCUCAAGCUCGGCCAAGACGUUAUGGCCGAAUCUGGAGAUGUUACAAAGAAAAGUGAUGAUCGCUAAACUGACUAAAAAUUCUACUGAGGCAAGCGAACCUAUCGAACAAUAGUAUAGUUAUGGUGAGAUUGGAAAUAUCGUAUCCACAAGGACUAAAAGUACUAGUAAUUACUAUCUUUUUUAUUAUCUAGCCUAAGAAUUAAAAGGGUGUUUUUAAACUAAGAUUAACUAUCUAAUUAACUACGAACACGACAGAGAUAAAAGUUAGAAAAUACUUUUAGAAAACCGAUGGAAAUGACAAUACCCAAGGAAGAAUCCACCUAGACUUGACUUAUUACUUCUGAAUUAGACGAUUUAUUCACUUGACUUAAUCCGUAUAAAUCCCUAGCUUAUGUUAAUAUCUCUCUCGAGACUAAAAACAACUGACUCUAGGUUGAUUAAUUGAAAUCUCUUUCUAAUUAAAACCCCUAUUGUCGCAUUAACUCGAUCUAUAGAUUCCCUUAUUAGAUUUGACUCUAAGCCCGUAGCUUUAUGUCAUCCUAUCUCUAGGAUUGCAUGCAACUCCACUUAAUUAUGGAAGAUCUACUCUUAAACAGGGACUUUUGCUCCACUGAAUAAGCACAUCAAAACCUGAAUUAAUAUCCUGAAAUAUUAAAGCAAGGAUUAAAACUCAUAAUUAAGAAUAAGAACAAGUAUUUAUCAUAUAAUUCAAAAGAUAAUAAGAUUCGUCUUAGGUUUCAUCUUCCCUAGGUAUUUAUGAAAUUUAGUUCAUAAUAAUGGGGAAAACAUCUCAAAAUUAGAAAAACAACAAAACAUAAAUAAACCCAAAAACUUCGGUAGAAAUUGAAUGGAGAUCUUCAGUCUUGAAGUAAAUCCAACUUCCGAGCUGAUUUCAAUGGCUGUCUUUCAAUGGCUGUCUUGAAGUAAAUCAUGCUUCCAAUGACUGAUUCCAAUGCUGCAUCAUUGAACAAAUCUCGCAAUUGAGAGUUAUUUUUAACUAGUUCAAUUAACAGUUUUGAAUCACCUCCCACUAUGUUGCCUAAUAUAUCUUCUGUCUUCCUUAUCUCUAUUUUCACACCAUCCAAUUCUUCCAUUAACUGUUCCAUUUUUGCUUCUAAUUCUUGUUGCCCUUCAUGUAAUUUGAUGCGCUUUAGUAGGAGAUUUUCCACAUGCCAUUUUUGAAUUUCUGGAUAAAAUUCAACUUUUUGACUCACAUCACCUUUUGGAAUUUCUUUUUCAAAAGAACUGUUCUCGUAAAUUAAUUGCAACACCUGAUUCACAUACAGUUUAAACAAUAAGAUAAUUUCAUGUUUAGUUGUUUAUACGUACUAAUCUUUAAUUCAUUAUAAGUAUUAAUCUUUACUAGGGUAGGUAUAAAAUAGUUACCCACUAUCAUUUAUGUUAUUUAGAUAUUUAAGGAUCAAUAUUACACAUGAAUAUGUGUUUGGGGAGAGGAGGGAAAGAGAGGGAUCUAUUUAUACUGGUGUAAAAUUUAAGUGGUUUAAAAUAAAAAAUAUUAAUCUUUUUAUACGAUUAAUAUUUUAACAAUUCAACAGUCAUAUUUUAUUCUCCAUUCAUGUAGAUCAUGCAUGUCAAGUUUGGUAUAAAUUAAAAAUUUCUAACUAUCUUUUUUAUGUAAAAAAAAAAUAACCUUCAAUUGUUAAAUAUAUAUUAUUUUAGAUUAAUAUGAUAGAGAUAUCAAAUUGAUUAAAAAAUUUACAUGUAGGAUAAGUACAAAUAUAUUGAUAAGUUUAGUGAUUAGAUUGUUAAAAUAGUAAUUGUAUAAAAAGGUACAGAAGAAUGUAAAAUCACUUUUACCUUAAGGCAAAUAGAUCCCUCCCGUUUAUAUAUAUAUAUAGAGAGAGAGAGAGGGAGAGAAAGAGAGAGAGAAAGAGACAUAAUAACUUACAUUAGGAUGAUCCUAAAAACUAAGGUUUUUAUGCACCAAUAAAUUUUUGUCACAUCAUCAAAUUUUAAAGAUAUAAAAUUAUUAUUAUACACCCAUCCAUAGAGAAAUUAUUUUAUGGAUUCUUCUCACCACAUUAUUCAUGCUCCCUUUCAACAAUUUUUUUUUCCAAGUCAUUAACACAUAAUUUUGAUAUUUGUACUUUAAACCCUAAAUCUAGAAUCCUAAACCCUAAACUGCAAACUCGAACCUAUAAUCCUAAAUCUAAACUCAUAACCCUAAAUUUUUUAACCCUAAACCAUUGAACCUUAAAUCCCGAAUCUUUGAACCCUCAACAUGAACUUGAACCCCAAACUUGAACCAUGAAUCUUAAAUUUCAAAACCAAACCUUGAAUCUCGGGCUUCGGGGUUCAGGAUAAAAUAAUUAUCAAAAUUAUAUGCUAAUGAUAUAGAAAAAAUUGCACAAAAAAAAUUAACUUAUGAAAAAAAUAAAAUGAUUAAAAUUCGUAAAAAAAGAAAGAAAGAAAAGAUGCUUGUUUAUAAUUUAAAAAAUUAAUUAUUUUAAGUAAUUUAAUUUAAUUUAAGUUAGAGAAUAUAUUAGAUAUGCAUGAGAAUAUAAUAAUACUUUAUCUUUAAAAUUUAAUGAGGUGACAUUAUUUUAUUAGUGCCUCAAAAUUAUACUUUUUAAGAUGAUUCUAAUAUAAUUUAUUCCCAUAUAUAUACAUAUGUAUGAACAAUACUAAGAUAUAUAUAUGCUUAAAGUCUAAGGUCAAAUUUAACAUCACUUCUUAAAUUUUAAUGUAAGCUUUUGUAAGUAAAUUUUUAAAAAAAUAAACAUUUAAUUAAAAGCACUUCAAUUAAAUAUUUAAAUUGAAUAAUAAAAUAUAUACUUACCUCAUAAAACACGCAUUUAAGUUCAGCAAUAAAUUUGCACUCCAUACAAUAGUAAAUCAACUCUUUUUGGUUUCUUUUUUGCUCACAAACAUCACAAUAAAAUUCAUCCUCUUUUUCAUCUGAAUUUAACUCAUACUCAAAAGGAGACUUUGUAAGGGUUAAAGGAUGGAGAUGAGAUUUGUGCUUUAUUGUUUUAGGAGCUGAAGGAAGACAUUGGAGAUGGAUGUUGAUAUCACAUGGCAUACAUCGAAGGAUGAGGUUACCGCAGUUUACACCACAAAAAUGGCAAGUAACACCGGUUAUUUUCUCAAGGAGAGUGAGAGGGUGUUCAUGGCCACUAAACGUAAUAGAGGCUAGCACCUUAUAACAAUCCAAGUGAAGGUUAAACUCACACUCAUAUUCUCGACAGCUAUAUGCUAAGAGAGUUGAAUCAAUGUCCCGGCAACAUGCAUCACAAGUGCGGAUAUGAUCAUUGUAUGGAAGGGAUGUCAUGGUGAGAGGGUGGUCGGGAUGAGAAGGAUGCUUAAGUUUAUAAGAUUUGUAAGGUAAUUUAACAUAGCAUGAUUUAUGUAAAAAGAAGUGGCUGCAUGAUCUGCUACACCUGAAAGUUGGUGUGGGAGCUAAGCAAAUCUGUGCACAUGCUACACAACGAGGUUCGUUGCCAUAUUCUUCAUCGUUUUGGACAAGAGCUAGUGUAUGCCGGUGACAGAAAUGUCGGAUCUCUUUGGCAUCUUCAGAGUCUAUGGUGGGAAAUAUGGCACAUUUGACAUGGAGAUCGAAAUCACAUGCUCGACAGCUGAACAUGCGGGAGACAAUAUGUUCACCACAACAAUCACAUUUGACACCACCGUAAGGAAAUGAGAUGAAUUUGAGAGUGCAUGGAUGGAUGCGAUGAUUGAUCAACUGUAGCGGAAUGCUCUUCAUGCAAGAUUUAUGAAGGAAAAACUCGCAUCUCAUGCAACCGUAGGUAGAAGAAGAAGAAGAGCAGAGCUCUUGACAAAUGGAGCAGAUCACUUCAUCUUUCUGGUUGGAAUCAACAAGUUUUAAGGGAUGAGCAUGAGUGAAAUGUUGAAUGGUGCACUCCUCAUCUGAAUAUUCUAUGAUUGGCUUUAGGGCACAUUUUACAUGCGUUUCAAACCAACAAUUUAACUUGCAUUUAUAGGAAAAGAUUGAAGGGAAGAUUUCUUUAAAACAAACAAAACAACGACUAAAAUAAAAAAUGGAGAUGGUAAGAGGGCAUGGAUGAAAGAAACAUUGAACCUUUGCUUUGUGCUCAUCAAGACAAGAUUUAUGAAUAAAAAACAUACAAUUUUCGCAACCAUAGGUCGGACCGGAUAACUUCCUCACACAUCCUUUGCAAUACGGUGCCUUUGUACUCCUCUCCUUAAUGAAUGACAAUGACAAGGGGUGGUGGUGGAUGACAUGUUGAAUCUCCAUUCUUUUUUAAUGAAACAACAGAAAAUACAGAGUCAUUGCAAACAUGUCAUUGCAAUAUAUAACAAUCCAAUCAGUUUCUCUUACUUUUCUUAACACCUAAUUAACCACUGAUUCCUAAUUAGUUAAAACAAUUAAUACAUUAAAGCAAUUCCAUCUUUAAUUAAUUAAAUUAAUAAAUUAAUUGUUGAAAUUCAUCAUAGUAAGCAAUUAUCUUAUCACAUCAAGAAGAAAGGAAUUAUAACAUUCUCCUAUAUAUACUUUUCUUUAUGCCUAAUUCACCACUGAUUCUAUGUGUAGUCUAACAUUACAAGUAAACAAGACAUUAAAGUAAUUCCAUCUUACUGAAGUUGAUGAUGAUAAACAACUAUCUUGAUCACAUCAGGAAGAAAGGAAUUAUAAUAGAUAAUAUAAACAAUUAUUUUAUUUACAAUCUAUUUUACCUUUUAUAGCAACUUGUCUUUAUGAUUCAGUAUUAGAGAAGUAUAAAGUUAUUGUAGAAUUACAAUUUAAAAUCUCAAAUUACACAGGUGCAAUUAUAUAAUUAAUAAAUAAUUUUAAUUAUUUUCAGGUUUACGAUAAAUAAUUUUACUUUUAUAUUUUGGCAAUUCGCAUUUUAAAGACAUGAAAAGAAAGGUUGAUACAUUGGGUGAAGCUGAGAUGAGUAUGCAUGAAGAAUAAAUACUUAGCUUGGAAUCAUGAAAUUAUUCAUUGAAAUAUAAAAAAUAAAUACUUCCAGCAAAAUUGCAAACAUAUGUUAUUGCAAUAUAUAACACUUGAAAAGUCUAAUUUUAAAAUAUAGAACUUUUUCUUAUUUUUCUUAACACCUAAUUCAUCAUUGAUUUUAUGCAUAAUCUAACAUUACAAGCAAACAAGAAAUUCCAUAUUUAGUUAAUCAAAUUAGUAAAUUAAUUGUUAAAAUUGAUCAUCAUAAACAUCUAUCUUAUCACGUACGUAGAAAUUCUAACAUAUAAACAAGACAUGAACUUUGAUUUUGCGUAAUUUUAAAUAUGAAAUUUUGAUUUGACCCAGUUCUCAUAAAUUAUUAACAAAAUUAUUGAUAUAGCGUUCUUUUUAUGUAUAUAUAUUACAUACACAAAUAAUUAUGUUUAUCCAAUAUAAAAAUAAAUUGAUGUAUUUAUUUCUUUAAAUGUGUUUGAUUGAAUGAAAAUCAAAUAUAUUUGAACCACAAUCCAAGUUUUAUAUGUAUGAUUGCACCAAACCAAAGUUCGCUUUUCGAAUUACACAUUGAAUUGAAGUUUAUAUGUAAUUUUGAAUAUACACACAAUGCAUUAAAUACAAUCAACCUCUCUAAAACAACCACCAACUGUAAUAACAUUUAGUUAUAACAACCAAGUUUCUAGUAGAAUCGAUUUUUUUGUGUUUUAUUCUAACCAACUAUAAUAGUUUUUCACUUAUAAGAGCAACAUUCAUAGUUAUGAAGUGUCUUCUUUAUCACAUUAAUUUUUUAUAACAACAUAUUAUUUAAAGUUUUAAGUAAAAUUAUAACUAUUUCAUCUAAGCAAGCUUAUUAACUAUAAUUUAUUAAAUAAAUUGAUAUUAAUUAAAAUAUUGUUUCAAUAAAAUGUUUAAUUUUCACAUGAGAAAAUAUAUUAAUAAUAUUUUAUUAAAUAAAAUUAAUUUUCAAUUAGUGGAAUUAAAUAUAUCAAUUCAAUGAACUAUUAAGUUCCCUAAUUAAAUAUUAUAAUUAAAGAUAUAUGGGAGGUAUCCACUCACACCCAAGAUAAUAUAUCUCCCUAAUUAGAGGUGAUAGAAUAAUAGUCUUUGAAUUGAUUUGUUCAAUUUUGUUUCAUCAAAAUAUUGACUAUUUAAAUUACUUAUUAAUAUAAGUUGUUUUCUCACAUUAUGAUCUCACCGCAUAAUACAACUUAAUAUUAGUUAAACAUAAGGAAACUAGUGAGUAAAUAUUUGCUUAUAUAUUUUGCUUUGCGUGCAAAAAUCAUUUAGGACAAAUACAAAAGACAAUAAUGUAAAUGGUGAAAUUUUAUUAAAUCAACCUGUUAAAGAAAAUUAAAAGUAUAUAUAAUGAAAUAACUACACUAAAAACACUAGAUUCCAAGACAUGGAUGUGUCAAGUGAUAAGUGAUAAAAGUAAUAUAUUUUAAUCUCGUUCUUAAUGCGUUUGUGGAUGAUUAUUUAUGCAAACUAGUGAAUUUUAUGCUUCUAAUCCUUUAAAUUCAUAUUUCUAUACCCAGGAUAGCAUUUGUGAGCAAAACAAGCGACAAACGAGCGAAAAUCAGAGAUUUGGAGUAGAUUCAGGAGCCACACGAGCUGGACACACGGCCAUAUGCCAAACCGUGUCAAUUUCAUGAUUCAUAUUCCAAACACGCGAAAAAUCGCAAUUUUUAAGCUUUAUGGGAAUUUAAACUUUAGAUUACGAUAUUUAAAACCUAAGGUAUGAUUGUUAAUCAUAUGUUUUUUUGAUAUAGAAUCUAUUUUAUAUCAUAUUAUUUUAUCUAUCUAUACUACAAUAAAUUCUUUUUUGAUUUCACGAGUCAAGUUGACACUAAUUCAAAUAGAAAAAUGACUAAAAAAUCCUUCUAUUCAAAAAGAAACAAAUAUUAUUAUAAAUGUGUUCUUGUCUUUUAUAUUUAAAAUCUAUUAAAAAAUAUUAUUAUAAAGGUGUUCUUGUCUUUUAUAUUUAAAAUCUAUUAAAAAAACAAUUUAAACCCAAGAUAAAUUUACAAAUUCCAAGAUGUUAUGUGCUAAUUGUAAGGUAUGGACUUGGAUUCUACGUAGGAAAGUAUGAGAUUUCUUAAGACGUUUGUAUGGACCUAGGAUCUUCAUUCUCAAUAACUGACUUUUGAGUUUAGUUCUACAAAAAAUUCGUAUCAUGAGACUUUGAAGAUAAGAUACUAAUAUCCCAAAAUCAAAAUUUUACUAUUUCAAUCCAAAUUUCUUUUUUCUUUUUUUACAUUUUCUUUUUUCACGCACAUUCUAGAAGUUCCAUAGUUUCUGUUAAAGAGUAAUUACGAACUUUUAUAUAAUAACAAUAAAUCCAAAUGGCAUUGCCUGUAGAUGAUUUAAGAUCACAAAUUUUCGAAGGAUUGUGAAUAACGAUUAGUUUUAUUUUAAAAUAUUCAUAUAUUUCACCUAAUUUAAUGUGCUUAAAAGUAUAAUCAAAUGUAGAAUAUUAUUUUCAUAUUUAUUUUUAAAUUAUUAUUUUUACAAAUAAUUUUAUUACAAAUAUUUUUUGUUUUUUCUUAUCCGAUCCUCAAACCUUGAUUCUUGGCACUAUUGAACAAACCUCGCAAUUUUUCCACUAGUUUGAUUAACCAUUUUGAGCUACCUCCCACUAGGUUGCCUAGCAUACCUUCUGUCCUCAUUAUCUCCUUUUUCUCAACAUUCGAUUCUUCUUCUAAUUGCUUCAUUUUUGUUUCUAAUACCUGUAGUCUUUCGUGUGAUCUGAUGUGCUUAAGUAGGAGAUUUUCCACUUACAAUUUUUUAAUUUCUAGAUUAACUUCAGUCACAUCAUCUUUUGGAGUUUUUUUUUCAAAUGAAUUGUCCUCAAAAAGUAACAGUAACACCUGAUUCACAGACAAUUUAAAUAAUAAGAUAAUUUCAUGUUUAGUUGUUUAUACAUACUUAUCUUUUUUUCUUUGAUUCAUUAAUCUUUACUAGGGUAGGCAUAAAAUUGUUACCCACUAUCAUGUAUGCUUUUUUAGGUAUUCAAUGAUCAAUAUUAUAUAUGAAUAUGUAUUGCGAGAGAGAGAUUCAUUUACAGCGGUGUAAAAUUUAAAUGAUUUUUUUUCCGUAAUUUUUUAUAUGAUUAAUAUUUUAACAAUCCAAUCGUCAUAUAUGCUCGAUUCAUGUUGAUCAUUCAUGUCAAGUUUGGUAUAAAUUAAAAUUUUCUUACUGUUCGUUUUAUGUGAAAAAAAAACUUUCAAUUUUUAAAUGUAAAAAAAAUAUAGACAAUAUUUUAGAUAGAUACGAUAGAGAUAUCAUAUCUAUUCAAAAAUUUACAUGCAUGACAAGAACAAAUAUGUGAUAAGUUUAAUGGUUGGAUUGUUAAAAUAUUAUUUAUAUAAAAAGUUAUAGAAAUGUGUAAAACUACUUAAGUUUUAUACCGGGUAAGUGGAUCCCUCCAGUAUAUAUCUGUGUGUGAACAAUACAAAGAUAUAUGUGCCAAAAGCUCAAACGAACAAGUAGCUAACUCUUAGUUAGCACUUUUAAAGUAAAUUUUUGUAUGCAAAUAUUUUAAAAGAUAAACACCUAAUUAAAAAUUAUUCAAUUAAAUGUUUAAAUUGAAUGAUAAAAUAUAUACUAACCUCAGAAAACACACACUUGAUUUCAGCAAUAAAUUUGCACUCGGUGCAAUAGUAAAUCAACUCUCUUUGGUUUCUUUUUUGCUCGCAAACAUCACAAUAAAAUUCUUCCUCUUCUUCAUCCGAGUUCAACUCAAAUUCAAAAGGAGAAUUUGUAAGGGUUAAAGGAUGGAGAUGAGAUUUGUGCUUUAUUGUUUCAGGUGCUGAAGGAUGACACUGGAAAUGGAUGUUAAUAUCACAUGGCACACAUCGAAGGACGAAGUUAUGGCAGUUUACACCACAAAGAUGGCAAGUAACAUCGGCUGUUUUCUCAAUGAGAGUGAGAAGGUGUUGAUGGCCACUAAACGUAAUAGAGGGCAGCAGCUUAUAACAAUCCAAAUGAAGGUUAAACUUACACUCAGAUUUCUGACAGCUAUAUGCUAAGAGAGUUGAAUCAAUGCCUCGGAAACAUGCAUCACAAGUGCGGAUAUGAUCAUUGUAUGGAAGGGAUUUGAUGGUGAGAGGGUGUUCGGGAUGAGAAGGAUGCUUAAGUUUAUAAGAUUUGUAAGGUAAUUAUUUCUGUAAAAAUAUUUUUAAAGAAUUAUUUCUUAAAAUAUUUCUAUAUAUCAUUUUUUAAAACAUAAAAUUUCUUCUCUCCAUGUAACACCCCUCACCCGCAUCCGACGCUGGGACGGGGUUCGAGGUGCUACCUGACUUUUACUAACACUUCUAUACUAAACAGGGCCAUGAAAUCUCAAAUAAUUAAAAACUUUUCUUUUCACAUACAAUCUGUCCCAUAUACGGGCUUACGAGGCCCAAAACAUACAUCCGGAGUGAUUCGGGACCCAAUCGAGAACUCAUGAAAAACUUAGAAAAUCUCUUACAUCAAGGCUUCAUACGCCCGUGUGGGUAUAGAGCACACGCCCGUGUGCUAGGGACACGCCCGUGUCCCGAACCCAUGUCCAAAAACCUAGACAAAUACAAGGCUAUUUUCCAAGCCAUUUUGUCACCCUCACAACACAUGCACACAUACUUAUACAAUAGCAUACAACAUGGCAAAAUUAGGCACUUUAACAUUCCUAACAUGUCAUGAUUAUGGCAAUUUCACAUGCAAUAGAUAUCAUAAAUUUUACUCACAUCUCUACCACAUUCAUACUAUAAUCAUUAUAAACUCAUCACAUAAUACCAUAGCACAUGCAUGCAUAAUUAAAAUAGAUUUACAACCCCAUAAUCAAAAUAGGCCAACACAUAUGAUUAAAGCCAUAUCACAUACUCUAAUAUUUAAACUCCUAUACAUGCCAUAGGCUCAAAGUACUUGAAAUCACUACACCAAUAGUGUUAGCUUGACAAUGUGAUAAUAUCUCUGACGGCCUCCAACCCGAGCUAACCUGGAAACUCUCGAUACCACAAAGGUGAAAAAAAAGACGUAAUUAUCCCUUAAUCGAUUUCUUUCCGUUUUAGGUCCAAAUCUCAAUUUUUAUCAUUAUAAAGGGAGUUUCUUUGCUGAAAGUUUCCAGCUUCUAAACCCUUUCUUUGCUGCCAUUUUUUUUCGGUGGAGAGAAGAUGAAGAAAAGAUGAUAUUUUCUUUUCUUUAUUUU
rnacentral:lncRNA from 1 species